rnacentral:piRNA from 1 species
ACAUAUUCAAAAAGACUGCACCAAGG